rnacentral:rRNA from 1 species
UGCAAGUCGAGCGGACAGAAGGGAGCUUGCUCCCGGAUGUUAGCGGCGGACGGGUGAGUAACACGUGGGUAACCUGCCUGUAAGACUGGGAUAACUCCGGGAAACCGGAGCUAAUACCGGAUAGUUCCUUGAACCGCAUGGUUCAAGGAUGAAAGACGGUUUCGGCUGUCACUUACAGAUGGACCCGCGGCGCAUUAGCUAGUUGGUGGGGUAAUGGCUCACCAAGGCGACGAUGCGUAGCCGACCUGAGAGGGUGAUCGGCCACACUGGGACUGAGACACGGCCCAGACUCCUACGGGAGGCAGCAGUAGGGAAUCUUCCGCAAUGGACGAAAGUCUGACGGAGCAACGCCGCGUGAGUGAUGAAGGUUUUCGGAUCGUAAAGCUCUGUUGUUAGGGAAGAACAAGUGCGAGAGUAACUGCUCGCACCUUGACGGUACCUAACCAGAAAGCCACGGCUAACUACGUGCCAGCAGCCGCGGUAAUACGUAGGUGGCAAGCGUUGUCCGGAAUUAUUGGGCGUAAAGGGCUCGCAGGCGGUUUCUUAAGUCUGAUGUGAAAGCCCCCGGCUCAACCGGGGAGGGUCAUUGGAAACUGGGAAACUUGAGUGCAGAAGAGGAGAGUGGAAUUCCACGUGUAGCGGUGAAAUGCGUAGAGAUGUGGAGGAACACCAGUGGCGAAGGCGACUCUCUGGUCUGUAACUGACGCUGAGGAGCGAAAGCGUGGGGAGCGAACAGGAUUAGAUACCCUGGUAGUCCACGCCCUAAACGAUGAGUGCUAAGUGUUAGGGGGUUGCCGCCCCUUNAUGCUUCAUCUAAUGCAUUAAUCACUCUNNUCUGGAUAGGACNGUU